rnacentral:snRNA from 1 species
GUGCCCUCUUUGGCAGUACAUACACUAACAGUGGGAUGAUGCAGAGAAACUGAGCCUGGGCCCUGUGCAAAAAUCAUGUGCAAAUUUGUGAAGCCCUCCAUACAUUU